AGCCUAUGAUGCAUUGAGCAUAAGAGUAGUGGACAGAAGUGAUUUCUGACAACUCUGCCCUGAGGCU
ensembl:snoRNA